rnacentral:lncRNA from 1 species
GUCGAUUCAAGAAGAAAAUUCGUCGUUCUUUUACUAUCGAACUAGCCGGGAGACUGUUUUCAAUCUUGUGGACAAAUAUGAGCGCCGAGCAGAUGACAGGUCCAUACAACGUGUGCCCACUAAUAAACGCUGUAUAUUGGUAGACAGGGACUACGACUUCGAUCGCUCAAAGAGAACUAGGGCCUUGUGCAUAAAAAAGGUAGCUACAUUGAGCAUAGACAGGAAUGCUGUUAAAAGGAUCCCUUGGUGUUUCGUGGGACAGCAGUACUAGUGAAAGGCAGAAUGAAAUUAGUGUAAGAAUUGGACUCGACAACUGAUGAUACACAGCAUGUUGGCGUGUUAAUUGACAUUUCUUCUUUUCGACUAAAAAUUCAGUCUGCUGACAUCAGAAGUUUCUUUCAAAAUGCUAUUUCAGACAUUAUCAUGAGUCAACAGACAAAAUUUGAAGAAUUUCCUUAUGUUAAAAAUUUUAGUUAUUACACAGUUAUUUCUCUUAAGCCUUUAAGGCCAUGUAUCAUGACGUAGAUUGAACUUUUCGUUUAAACAUCUGUAACAUUUUACAACUAACACAUUCCAGAACUGUCAGCUUCAAUUUUAUUAUUUUUAAUGACAUGUAACUUCAUGUAUAAUAAUACGUAAACAAUGAUUGUAAAAUAAUGUAUUAUGUCCCAAAAAUUCAGAAAAGUCAGAAAAUUAGAUACUAACAGCGAUAUUUGACUUUAUCAAAAUCUUUAACCAAAACAUUCUUAGUUGAAACGGACAUAACU